GGGUGCUCAUGGUGGCCUCCAAAUAAAUACAUGGACAGGCUGCUAAAGAGGGUCAGGAUGAUGGAGAUGCAAGAGCCAAAGACAGCACGGACCAAACACCAGGCCAGAAUUCUGCAUGAGUCAGCUGUAAAAAACAAAAGAAUGAAACAGUACCUGCAUUUUAGUUUCCAGCCUUUUUCACAAAGUUGCCGACAACUGGAAGAAUGUCCCAAAUUGCUGAAAAAAGAAAUUCAGUAAGUCCUUAUAAAAGAGACAGUUUAAAAGGUAAAACGGCUUCAUUUAACUUCAAAAAUACCCCUAAAUCCUUAAAGAACACGCCCACAUUUUGGGAAUUUAGCUUAUUCACCAUAUCCCCCAGAGUUAGAUAAGUCCAUACAUACCUUUCUCAUCCCUGUGCGUGCUGUAACUCUGUCUGAUGCAGCCCCCGCUAGCUUAGCUUAGCACAAAGACUGGAAGUGAAUGGCUCCAUCUAGCAUACGGCUUCCAAACAUGACAAAAUAACGCAAACAUUUUCCUAUUAUGUGUUGUGAUUUGUAUAGUCAAAUUCACUACCAGUCUUUUGUUCUAAGCUAAGCUAG